AUGGAAAACCCUCCCACACUCCAUGGAAACUUGCAAAGCAGAGAAUGGCAAUGACUGAGUUCUAUCCAUAGUUUAUCAACAAAGCGAGAAUUUGGAGGUGAGAGGUCCCCCAAACCAGUGGUCACGUGAUCAGGACCUUUUAGCAGUGGUUCUCCAACUGCAGAAUGUAGAAGGACCACUAGGAAUUUAGUUGAUUCCUGCUCCUUGCCUUCCUCCCUUGGACAUUCUGAUUCUAGGUCUCUGGGUGGGACUCUGGAACCGGCAUGAGUAACAGUCUCCAGGGGAUUCUGAUGCAAGUGAUCUUGCUACUCUAAGCAACAACUCUCCACUGAAAGCUGACUCAAGCAUCUGUAAUACCUUCCAGGGUUUUCCUGAAUACAAAUAUAUAGAAGAUUCAUACAUUGGGUCCUCACUGAGAUGCCUUUGGGAACUCUUAGACAACUCAAGUUCCCUCUCUCAGAAAAGUCUGAAGGCAGCCCAGAAUUCCUGACAGCCACACACAAGGACCGAACACACGCCAUGUGCCAGGAGCAGGGAUUGCAGAGCCAACAAGACUCCACGCAGGCCGCCAGGCUUGCCCAGGCUCCUGUCUCUGAAGAAGACAGUUAUUCCUAAGCACCAACAGCCACAGGGGAUCGUUGGCUGAGGCAAGCAAGGAUUUCGCCCCUCAAAGCAGAGAAUGCUGAUAACCUGGGCUGUAUCACACAGAGAACUGCUUAUUCCUAAGUGACUGGGCCUAACUGGCUUCAGGGCUGAGCAGCGCCCCACCCAGAGGUCCCUGGAGGCAGAGUCCUGAGGAUUGCCCCCUCCACCUCAGGCCUUCUCUGGUGCAGGGCACCCAACUGGGAGUGGGACUUGGUGGAUGCAUCUCUCAGCUUCCUUGCCCUUCAGUGCUGCGUGCUGUGCAGUGUCCCAGAGGUCCCCAGGUGGACUGAGCCCCGGUGCCCCCAGCAGUAACCUGCUCACUAUCUCACCUGUGCAGACUUUCCUCCCUUCCGUGUCUCACUCCCCACUCCCUCAUCGUGCCCCCUGAGAUCACCUCCCAAGUAAUUUCCUUGCACCCAAAUCCCUAUCUCAGGGUCUACAGGAGACUUACAGUUUACUCCUCGACGAAAGGACUUGUGGGAGCGUGGUCAGCAGCGACACCCCUGCAGAAAGGCCGGUCCUCCCCCAGCCCAGCCGGUCUAGCCACCCUGACAGCCACGCUCACUCCUCCGAACCUCCCAGGCAGCAGCUUGGCCGACCCUGAGGCUCUGUGAGGCCUGUGUUGCCAGCUUGCCUUCUUCCUCUGCCCUGUCCUGCUUCCUCCCCCUUCCUCUCCCAGGACUCCAUCCCUAAUAAACAUCUUGCACCUCUAACUCCA
rnacentral:lncRNA from 1 species